rnacentral:rRNA from 1 species
UACUCCCGCCGGCGACCGGCGCACGGGUGAGUAACACGUAUGAAACCUGCCCGUAGCAGGGGGAUAGGCGGAAGAAAUUCCGUCUAAUACCGCGUAACAACCCGAGGAGGCAUCUCCUCGGGUUUAAAGGAAGCGAUUCCGGCUACGGAUGGUCAUGCGUCGCAUUAGCUAGUUGGCGGGGUAACGGCCCACCAAGGCGACGAUGCGUAGGGGUUCUGAGAGGAAGGUCCCCCACACUGGUACUGAGACACGGACCAGACUCCUACGGAAGGCAGCAG